GAGAAGGCCUGUGCAGCAGAAAGGCACUUUACUGUUUCUUUCUACUGCAGUGGAAUAACUUUGCUCAUCUGUGGCUGUUUGGCUUUAACAACUCCAAAGACAUGUUGCUUUACCUCUUUUUACUUUUCUCUCACUUUAUAGCCCUGGGCUCCAUGGACAGCAUAAAGCCAGAGAGUAGUGAAGAACUUGUUGCAGAGGGCAGAAACAUCAACCUGACCUGUAGAUAUGAUGGUACUAUCUACAGUAUCCAGUGGUACCGACAAUACCAGAGAUCCAGACCAGAGUUCCUGCUCUACAUCACAGAGGGAGGAUUGAUUCAUUCAACUGUUUCUGAUUUCUCAGCUCACAUUGACAAGACACAGAAACGUGUUGAUCUGGAGAUCAUCUCAGCUAAAGACUCUGCUGUGUACUACUGUGCUCUGCAGCCCACAGUGACAGGAAACACCAGAACUCUGUACAAAACCUUUGGAGCAAAGACAACACAACACAACAUGGCAGAUCUGAACUUCUUCCCUCCACUAGAGGGCCACAUUAUCAAGUAGGCGGUGCACUACUUCUGCACUGUGUUCAACCAUCCAGUGAAUAAUAAGUGCUGCUGUGAAGAGCACAAUUCUCAGACUGAAUGUUGAACAUCAGAUAGUUUCUCCUGUUGAUUUAAACUUUGUUGUACAGAUGGAACAUUGGCUGUGGAUUAUUCUUGCUGCUCUUUUCUUUGGUAACAU